rnacentral:rRNA from 1 species
GACGAACGCUGGCGGCGUGCUUAACACAUGCAAGUCGAACGGAAAGGCCCUGCUUUUGUGGGGUGCUCGAGUGGCGAACGGGUGAGUAACACGUGAGUAACCUGCCCUUGACUUUGGGAUAACUUCAGGAAACUGGGGCUAAUACCGGAUAGGAGCUCCUGCUGCAUGGUGGGGGUUGGAAAGUUUCGGCGGCUGGGGAUGGACUCGCGGCUUAUCAGCUUGUUGGUGGGGUAGUGGCUUACCAAGGCUUUGACGGGUAGCCGGCCUGAGAGGGUGACCGGCCACAUUGGGACUGAGAUACGGCCCAGACUCCUACGGGAGGCAGCAGUGGGGAAUAUUGCACAAUGGGCGGAAGCCUGAUGCAGCAACGCCGCGUGCGGGAUGACGGCCUUCGGGUUGUAAACCGCUUUCGCCUGUGACGAAGCGUGAGUGACGAUAAUGGGUAAAGAAGCACCGGCUAACUACGUG